rnacentral:lncRNA from 1 species
GAGACCUCCACGGUCCGGACGUAUUCGUGCUGAGGAUCAGUGUGAUGGGAGCCAGCCCGGCCCUGGCACAUCCCCACUGUCCAUCCGGCCAAGUGCCAGCUGCCUUUCAGGACGAGGCCAGGGCUCAGCCUGUGCCUGUUUCUCGGCCCGAACCAACAGAUGUCGCAGUGCUACUGCCAUGGACCGAAAAGGCUGCUCUCCCUUCUGCUUGUGCACCCCACUGCUGUCCCUGGCUCCCCGUGCCUCCCGCCUGUGGCUGUUCUGCCCACCCCACCUCGCACCAGCCAGGCUCUGGAUGUGCUCACCAGGUGCCUGUUCCAUCCCUGGUGGAAGUGCAGCCCAUCAGAGAAGCGGAGAUGCCCCAGAAGUGGGCUGCAAUAUUUGGAAACCUUUCUCCUGCCUGGUUCAUGUUGCCAAUAUGCCAUAGACUGUCACACCAGCUCACCGGAGCCCCGGGCAUCGUGAGGAGGGUUCAGGCUCAGCUCUGCGUGAAAAUCCUGACGUUGGGGGAGAUGGCCAAGGAGCUGCCCUGGGUGGGACAGAGGGGCUGAAGCCAGUGCCAGGAUGGACGCUGCACAGGACAGAGUGGGGAGUGGCUGCUGUGGGUGCAAGGAGCAUUCUGAGGUGCUGGUUAGGGCAUUUUGGGGUGUGCUGUGCCCUAAAGUGGGGAAGGGUUGGACUGCCCCAGUCUGGCUUGCUGCUGGCCUGGAUGCUGUCAGGCCUGACCUUGGGGACCAGGGGGACACAGCAGGGGUACCCAGCACCCUGGGACCACCCGUCCCUUCCCUCCAGGUGCAGAGGAGAUGCUCUCCCCUCCUGCCUCCAAGCUACGGGCAGGGGUGAUCCAGGAGGCUCUCAGCCCUUCCCAUUUCUCCCCGUAGGGUAGGAUCUCUUCAUCUCCUCAUGCCACGUUUGCCUUGUGUGGCCCCUAUUUCUGAUGUGAUAUUUAUUGAUGGCUGGAAUGACCUAUACUUAUCAUGUGCUGUCUGGAAGUGCAAUAUCUGAGAGGCUAUACAGUCACAAUGUCUUUUCGGUGUAUUAUUUGCCUAAUACAGUAUUAAAUAUUUUUUUAAUUUGAAGAGUUGGUGAACCCUUUCUAUCAAUGCCCUACU